rnacentral:rRNA from 1 species
GACGAACGCUGGCGGCGUGCUUAACACAUGCAAGUCGAACGGAAAGGCCCUGCUUUUGUGGGGUGCUCGAGUGGCGAACGGGUGAGUAACACGUGAGUAACCUGCCCUUGACUUUGGGAUAACUUCAGGAAACUGGGGCUAAUACCGGAUAGGAGCUCCUGCUGCAUGGUGGGGGUUGGAAAGUUUCGGCGGUUGGGGAUGGACUCGCGGCUUAUCAGCUUGUUGGUGGGGUAGUGGCUUACCAAGGCUUUGACGGGUAGCCGGCCUGAGAGGGUGACCGGCCACAUUGGGACUGAGAUAUGGCCCAGACUCCUACGGGAGGCAGCAGUGGGGAAUAUUGCACAAUGGGCGGAAGCCUGAUGCAGCAACGCCGCGUGCGGGAUGACGGCCUUCGGGUUGUAAACCGCUUUCGCCUGUGGCGAAGCGUGAGUGACGGUAAUGGGUAAAGAAGCACCGGCUAACUACGUG